rnacentral:tRNA from 1 species
GGGUAGGUGGCCGAGCGGUCGAAGGCUCCAGUCUUGAAAACUGGCGGGCGUGAAAGCGUCCCGGGGGUUCGAAUCCCUCCCUACCCG